AACAGGAUUAGAUACCCUGGUAGUCCAUGCCGUAAACGAUGAGUGCUAAGUGUUGGGAGGUUUCCGCCUCUCAGUGCUGCAGCUAACGCAUUAAGCACUCCGCCUGGGGAGUACGACCGCAAGGUUGAAACUCAAAGGAAUUGACGGGGGCCCGCACAAGCGGUGGAGCAUGUGGUUUAAUUCGAAGCGACGCGAAGAACCUUACCAGGUCUUGACAUCCAUAGCCAGUCUAAGAGAUUAGAUGUUCCCUUCGGGGACUAUGAGACAGGUGGUGCAUGGCUGUCGUCAGCUCGUGUCGUGAGAUGUUGGGUUAAGUCCCGCAACGAGCGCAACCCUUGUCAUUAGUUGCCAGCAUUAAGUUGGGCACUCUAAUGAGACUGCCGGUGACAAACCGGAGGAAGGUGGGGAUGACGUCAAGUCAUCAUGCCCCUUAUGACCUGGGCUACACACGUGCUACAAUGGACGGUACAACGAGAAGCGACCCUGUGAAGGCAAGCGGAUCUCUGAAAGCCGUUCUCAGUUCGGAUUGCAGGCUGCAACUCGCCUGCAUGAAGCUGGAAUCGCUAGUAAUCGCAAAUCAGCACGUUGCGGUGAAUACGUUCCCGGGCCCUGUACACACCGCCCGUCACACCAUGAGAGUUUGUAACGCCCGAAGCCGGCGGGAUAACCGAAAGGAGUCAGCCGUCUAAGGCGGGACAGAUGAUUAGGGUGAAGUCGUAACAAGGUAACC
rnacentral:rRNA from 1 species